UGCUUUUGAAGCCCAUGAGGAUGAGAACCUCCGGGGGCGGGGAGGUUCGACUCGAGCGAAGCGAGAGAACGUUGCGCCAGCAACGGCCCGCAGGGCGAGCCACGAAGUGGCGAGUAAUCCUCUAUCACCGACCA
rnacentral:sRNA from 1 species